rnacentral:rRNA from 1 species
CAAUAGCGUAUAUUAAAGUUGUUGCAGUUAAAAAGCUCGUAGUUGGAUUUCUGGUGGGAGCGAUCGGUCUGGCGCUUAGCGCGAGUACUUGCAUCGUCUCCGGCCAUCCUUGGGGAGAUUCUGUCUGGCAUUAAGUUGUCGGGCAGAGGAUCCUCAUCGUUUACUGUGAAAAAAUUAGAGUGUUCAAAGCAGGCUUAUGCCGUUGAAUAUAUUAGCAUGGAAUAAUAAGAUAGGACUUUGGUACUAUUUUGUUGGUUUGCGCACCAAAGUAAUGAUUAAUAGGGACAGUUGGGGGUAUUCGUAUUCCGUUGUCAGAGGUGAAAUUCUUGGAUUUACGGAAGACGAACUACUGCGAAAGCAUUUACCAAGGAUGUUUUCAUUAA